rnacentral:lncRNA from 1 species
UGCACCACAAUUAACAUGGUUUCUCUGUUUACUUCCAAAAGUGUCAACUAUAAAAUGUAGGAUGACCUUGAAAAUGUACGCAUUAAAUUUUUUCCAUCCAAGAAAUGCCUUCCAGAUAAAUUAACACGGCGCGGAGCUAACAAUGACCAAAAAUACACCAUGCAUCUGCACCAAUCAAAACAUUUCUUCCUAUUAAAACUCUAUAU